rnacentral:lncRNA from 1 species
GUGUCAGUGAGUGUGCGUGCGGGGGUCGCGGGGCGAGCCAGCGUUGCUAUGGGAACGCUUCGAGGCGCCUUGGAUGCUCGCCCGGGGUACGGACGCGCCCAAAGCGGGGACUGCCCGGGCGCUCCCGCUCGAUCGGCCAUCGACAAAGUUCGACCACUGCAGCGAGUUGAGGAGUUGCUCGAGUUGCUUCCAAGUCGCCUAUUCAUCCCCUCGUUCCCGCCAAUGGCAGCACUCUGUGAGUUCACCGUGGGUUUCCGGAACUCUGCGCGCCCCUUGUUCCGUCGCAACGUCUUUGUUCUUACGGAGCGGGUGUGGCGUACGAGGCAGCGCUCGCACACCGUGAAGUCAACCGUCCAAAGUGUUCGACACCGAGAUCUUCGUGGAACACGAGACGGCAACGCUGAAGUCGGGAAAUUGCCGAGAGAUGCUGACGCCGGUGACAAACGGCUUAGCUCCUUGCCGAAGGACAAGCAUGCUCAUUGGUGCAACAGCUGGUGUGCAAAGACAUCAGGAUGGCAGUUUGCAGUUGGCCAGAUAUCGAACUUGCACUGGACUGCUCAACAGCAUGGCGUGACAUCAAUGUGUGCUCCGUCCCUCGGAUGUACGUUCAGCAGGAUUAGACAUCUCCCAGCACUGGUCGCUGGAGAACGGGAAAGAUCCCACGGUGUCCUUCGCGAAGAGUAGGUGAGUUAUCAGCAGCACUCUGAACAAAUUACAAAUUCCUACAAUGACUGAGGAUGAGGAAAGCGAUGGAAAGCCACCCAACUUAACCUUUGCCAAGAGAUUCCUUCGGGAACACCGACAUUGUCAGUAGUAUGAUGAUGAUGAUGAUGAUGAUGAUGAUGAUGAUGAUGAUGAUGAUGAUGAUGAUGAUGGUGGUAAUUUCUCCACCACUUUUUCAAGCUUGGCAGAAAAGGAUGUUCUUCAUUCUGUGUACAUCAACAGAACUGGUGUCCGUAUCUGUUACUAAAAGGAGAAGUGUCCGUCCGCCGGUGUUUGUGUGCGUGUGUCCUUUUGUCAUGCUUCAUUCUGAAGGGUUGCUGCUGUCAUUGAUGGUGCCAUCGAUUUACUUGGUGGAUAAGCUAAUCGUCCAUUUACUUGGAACAAAAAUGUGUGUGUUCAAUCAUAAAUAUAUCUGCCCUUGUUUCCGGUAAUGAGGAAGAAGAAGCGUGAAUUUGAGCUUCAAUGAAGGGGUUACGAUAACAUUUAUGAUUCUACAACAGCAGGAACCCUUUCAAUUUUAGAAGAACACAUUCGGAGCACACAAAAUUAAAUAUAGCAAUACUUCUCGGUCUUUUCAUUAAACCCGUCGGCGAAGCGAUGGAAACACGCGCUUCGUUGAUGGCCAAAUCCAACAAUGGGC